AUUCGGCUUUUCUUUGUCAAGUUUUGGAUAGCGUUUGCAAAUAUAUUGGUAAACAAAUAUAUAACAAAUAUAAAUUGAUUGAUUUUAAGCCAUUUGAUUCGGGUCUUUAAAUCAAAUAGCACCACCCACUAUUUUUGGCAAAUUCCAUAUCCCUCAUUGGAAUUCGAGAGUUUUGGAGGAAACUCUUAGUAAGGUAUGGGAGACUCAUCAUUACCAAGCCCACCUCACAAUGAUAUGAUGUUGUCUAGCAUUAAUAAUAAUGAGAGAGUACACUUACUCAUUUGCAUCUCUUGCAAGUACCCAUCUUAUUUGGCCUCUAGAGAAUAAAGCCUCACAAUGAUAUGAUGUUGGCUCCAUUGCACUUAGUUAAGUCAUUCCCACCAUGCAAGUUCGGGUAAGGGUUCAAGAACAACCUCACAAUGAUAUGAUGUUGAUCAUUCUCGUUGCCUACCUUCACAACAUCAUGUAUGCAUAUAGGAUUCAUCCUGAGUGUAAGCACGCACUUUGUACUCCCCCAUGAUAGGGUGAAGCCGGUGUACGAGUAACAAAUGAUCGGAGCCUACCACGGUGGAAGGCCACGAAAGAGUGUCCAAAGCACUCUCACGCUUAUCAACUUAUAAUGGUUUGGUGGAGGGUUUUAGGUCUCAUCAUAUAUAAAUAUACAUUUUAAUCUUAAAACAAUUUGGUCCUAUUACAACUAUUGGUCCAUGUGAUUGAUUUAGUUGUACAUGAUACUCCUACUAUGCUUGUAAAACAGUUUUUAAAGCAAGAGUAUAUGGUACUACUAACAUAAGGUUUGCAUUCAUUGAUGUACUAUAUAGUUGCCUUAGGGCCUUAGGAUGACUAUGAACCUUUGAUUAGAUCCAACACGAGCCUAGUGUUGAAUCUCGGUCUAGGGAUGGUGAUUGAUUUUAGUUACGCGUUUAAUCAUAUUAAGGCGUGUUGUCUUAUUGGGCGCUGGACCCGCUACUCCAUUUUCAUGCAUAUCAAAUAAAACAAGAAAUGAGUACUUCAAAGUAAAGAUGAGCUUAUGCUCUUUACAACAUUUGAUUAAUACAAAUUACUUUAAAGUAAAGAAGAGCUUAUGCUCUUUUACAACAUUUGAUCAAAUCAAAUUACAACCAAAAUCUAAUCUACACAUUCCCAUGGUUCAAACAAAUUUGAAACGGCCUUUCACAUAGCUCAAUUAUCGUAGGCUUAGGUUCAUAAUCACCCUUUAAUUAAUUAACGCUUUAACUAAUUAAACUUUGAAUGCAACAUUGUCAUUUGGUUUUUGUAUCCAUAAAAUUGAUUUAAAUGGAGCUAAAUGAAAUGAAAAUCCAAUUCUCAUUUAAAGAGACAAAACAAUUUUGUUCUCAACCUAAUUUGGGCCAAAAUGCAAUUACCACAACUUUUUGGGCUAUAUUGCAAAAACAUAAACUUUUGGGGUCACUUUGUAAAAACACAAAACUCCACUACUUCAUGUAAUUACAACUAGAACCCAAAAAUUUCAACAAAUACAAAAACUUCAUUAAAGGAGAAACAAUUUGUCCUUUAGCGUUUUUGGACCUAAACGUAAAAACGUAAACUUUUGGGCCAAAGUGCAAAUACACAAAAGUAUCAAAACUUUAUGUAAUUGCAUAAAAGCCCCAAAAGUACCCUAUUUUAAUAGGGUGGCCGGUUUUAGAGAGAAGGGAGUGAUGUGUGUGUUGAUUUGUAGUUUUAGACAUAAAGUCAUACAAGUGGUGCAUGACAUAAAUGUCAUGCAAGUGGUGUGUGAAAAGGAAUUAAUCCUUACACACCCACCAAUAUUUCUUUCACCUUUCAAAAUAAAUAUCUAAUACAUUUAAACAUUUGAAAAGCACAAAACAAAAACUUUAUGAAAUAAAUCAAAACUUUGAAUCAAAAAACACCAAACUUUUUGUUCUUGGUUAAAAUAUCAAGAACAAUGAAGAACAUUCAUGAAAAACUCAAAAAAUCUCCAUGAACAUUUUUCACCCAAAGACAUCCCAAAACCACUCAAACUUAAGGGAAAUAACAUAUAACCAAACUAGGGUACAUAGGGGUUCCAAAAGUUACUUGAAAACACUUUUAACAAGUCAAACAUGAACCCAAAAAUCCACCCUUUGGAUUUGGCCGAAUUCUCCCAAAAACAUGGCACCAAAUUUUAGCUCCAAUAUUCAUGCUCAUAUGAACUACAUCUACAACAUUUGAGAUGGCAAAUUUUCUAACAAAAUUUACAUUCAAAAAAGCAAGAAUAAAGCUUGUAACAUAUUACAACAUUUAAAUCAAAGACUAUGAACUACAAAACCCAAAAGGAUUCACCAACUACUAGACCUAGGCUCUGAUACCACUUUAAGGAAAUUUUGUGAAAAACAUGUUCAUUUAAGCAACAUCUAUAG
rnacentral:lncRNA from 1 species